rnacentral:piRNA from 1 species
UGACACUCAAGAUCUUUUGGNGCACGAGU